rnacentral:rRNA from 1 species
GACGAACGCUGGCGGCGUGCUUAACACAUGCAAGUCGAACGGAAAGGCCCUGCUUUUGUGGGGUUCUCGAGUGGCGAACGGGUGAGUAACACGUGAGUAACCUGCCCUUGACUUUGUGAUAACUUCAGGAAACUGGGGCUAAUACCUGAGAGGAGCUCCUGCUGCAUGGGGGGGGUUGGAAAGUUUAGGCGGUUGGGGAUGGACUCGCGGCUUAUCAGCUGGUGGGUUGGGUAGUGACUUACCAAGGCUUUGGUGGGUAGCCGGCAUGGGAGGGUGACCGGCGACCAUGGGACUGCGAUACGGAGCAGUCUCGAACGGGAGGCAGUAGUCGGGAGCCUGGCACAAUGGGGGGACGUGUGAUGAAGAGACGCCGCGUGUGGGAUGCAGGCUUAGUGGUUGUAAACCGCUUUAGCCUGUGACGAAGCGUGAGUGACGGUAAUGGGUAAAGAAGCACCGGCUAACUACGUG